rnacentral:rRNA from 1 species
GACGUAGGGGGCCAGCGUUGUUCGGAAUUACUGGGUGUAAAGGGUUCGUAGGCGGUGUAGCAAGUCGGGAGUGAAAUCUCUGGGCUUAACCCAGAGGCUGCUUCCGAAACUGCUGUGCUUGAGUGUGGGAGAGGCGCGUGGAAUUGCAGGUGUAGCGGUGAAAUGCGUAGAUAUCAGGAGGAACACCUGUGGCGAAAGCGGCUCACUGGACCACAACUGACGCUGAGGCGCGAAAGCUAGGGGAGCAAACAGG